CGUACACUCCUGCGGGAGGCAGCAGUGGGGAAUAUUGGACAAUGGGCGCAAGCCUGAUCCAGCCAUGCCGCGUGAGUGAUGAAGGCCCUAGGGUUGUAAAGCUCUUUCACCGGUGAAGAUAAUGACGGUAACCGGAGAAGAAGCCCCGGCUAACUUCGUGCCAGCAGCCGCGGUAAUACGAAGGGGGCUAGCGUUGUUCGGAUUUACUGGGCGUAAAGCGCACGUAGGCGGACUAUUAAGUCAGGGGUGAAAUCCCGGGGCUCAACCCCGGAACUGCCUUUGAUACUGGUAGUCUUGAGUUCGAGAGAGGUGAGUGGAAUUCCGAGUGUAGAGGUGAAAUUCGUAGAUAUUCGGAGGAACACCAGUGGCGAAGGCGGCUCACUGGCUCGAUACUGACGCUGAGGUGCGAAAGCGUGGGGAGCAAACAGGAUUAGAAACCCGAGUAGUCC
rnacentral:rRNA from 1 species